AUUGAACGCUGGCGGAAUGCUUUACACAUGCAAGUCGAACGGCCGCACGGACUUCGGUCUGGUGGCGAGUGGCGAACGGGGGAGUAAUACAUCGGAACGUGCCCAGUCGUGGGGGAUAACGUAGCGAAAGCUACGCUAAUACCGCAUACGACCUAAGGAUGAAUGCGGGGGCUCGCACGACCUCGCGCGAUUGGAGCGGCCGAUGGCAGAUUAGGUAGUUGGUAGGGUAAAGUCCUAGCAAGCCGACGAUCUGUAGCUGGUCUGAGAGGACGACGAGCCACACUGGGACUGAGACACGGCCCAGACUCCUAUGGGAGGCAGCAGUGGGGAAUUUUGGACAAUGGACGCAAGUCUGAUCCAGCCAUUCCGCGUGCAGGAUGAAGGCCCUCGGGUUGUAAACUGCUUUUGUACAGAACGAAAAGGCUCUGGUUAAUACCUGGAGCUCAUGACGGUACUGUAAGAAUAAGCACCGGCUAACUACGUGCCAGCAGCCGCAGUAA
rnacentral:rRNA from 1 species